rnacentral:rRNA from 1 species
AUACGGAGGGUCCGAACGUUAAUCGGAAUUACUGGGCGUAAAGCGCGCGUAGGCGGUUCGGUAAGUGGGAUGUGAAAGCCCCGGGCUCAACCUGGGAAUUGCAUUCCAAACUGCCGGACUAGAGUAUGGUAGAGGGAGGUAGAAUUUCCUGUGUAGCGGUGAAAUGCGUAGAUAUAGGAAGGAAUACCGGUGGCGAAGGCGGCUCUCUGGCCUAAUACUGACGCUGAGGUGCGAAAGCGUGGGGAGCAAACAGGAGUAGAAACCCCAGUAGUCC